AAGGAAGCUCCCCAUCAGCAUCAUCUUAUUGUUCAUUCAGGUGCUGGGCCUUUUGAUCUCUGUGGUUGGACUAAGCCUCUGUGUCUCAGAGUGCAUCCCAGUGCAUGAUUCUCUUCUGAUUUCAGGCUUGGGUAUUACAGCCUUAGUGGCAUUACUUGGAUUAGUUUAUAUAUUUGUUGCAGGUUCUAAGCAGAAGACUACACAGCCUACUGGGGUGAUUUUUAAUUCUGGAACCUUACUAAUUACUUGCUUGGCUUGUUACUAAAUUCUUGGCAUUUAAAGAAUUGAAAGGAAUGAUGAAUAAUGGUAAGUAUAAAAAGCACAUACAAUUAUAGAUUGGUUAAAAUACGGACAUUGAAAAGAAAUAAAAUUGCUUCCUGGAAAUAUGGCGUUUUAAAUAAAAGGGACACUGUCAAAGCAUAAAGGUUUACACGUGUUUAUUUACAAAACUUAAAUCUACUCUGUUAAAAUUGCACCACUAGUCAUAUAAAAGCUGUAGGGUGUCACCCAUCAGAUCUCCAGUCCUACUGCUCACAGCAAAGAGAAGCUACUGCCUUUUAAAAAACCUUUCUGAUGUAGUGAAAGUUACUGUGAAAUGGUUUUUAUAUGACAUGUAAUCUGGCACAAAUCUUUAUAACCUUGACAGAGUUCCUUUUGUGCUUGUGUUGGUGAUUUUGUUGCACUUAAGCCAUGGGGGCAUAAUAUCUCUGC